rnacentral:snoRNA from 1 species
CCUGGCACAAUGAUGACUUAAAUUACUUUUUGCCGUUUACCCAGCUGAGGGUGUCUUUGAAGAGAUAAUUUUAAGACUGAGUUGCCAGU